rnacentral:rRNA from 1 species
UGCAGUCGAGCGGAAAGGCCACUUCGGUGGUACUCGAGCGGCGAACGGGUGAGUAACACGUGAGUAAUCUGCCCUCCACUUUGGGAUAGCCACCGGAAACGGUGAUUAAUACCGGAUAUGACCAGUGCCUGCAUGGGUGUUGGUGGAAAGUUUUUCGGUGGGGGAUGUGCUCCCGGCCUAUCACCUUGAUGGUGGGGUAAUGGUCUACCAUGGUUUCAACGGGUAGCCGGCCUGAAAGGGUGACCGGCCACACUGGGACUGAGACACGGCCCAAACUCCUACGGGAGGCACCAUUGGGAAAUAUUGGACAAUGGGCGGAAGCCUGAUCCAGCAACGCCGCGUGAGGGAUGACUGCCUUCGGUUUGUAAACCUCUUUCAGCACAAACAAACCGAAAGUGACGGUAUGUGCAGAAGAAGCACCGGCCAACUACGUGCCAGCAGCCGCGGUAAUACGUAGGGUGCGAGCGUUGUCCGGAAUUAUUGGGCGUAAARGGCUCGUAGGCGGUUUGUCGCGUCGGGAGUGAAAACACACAGCUUAACUGUGUGCUUGCUUCCGAUACGGGCAGACUAGAGGUAUGCAGGGGAGAACGGAAUUCCUGGUGUAGCGGUGAAAUGCGCARAUAUCAGGAGGAACACCGGUGGMGAAGGCGGUUCUCUGGRCAUUACCUGACGCURARGARCGAAAGUGUGGGGAGCGAACAGGAUUAGAUACCCUGGUAGUCCACACCGUAAACCGUUGGGCGCUAGGUGUGGGGCCUAUUCCAUGGGUUCCGUGCCGCAGCUAACGCAUUAAGCGCCCCGCCUGGGGAGUACGGCCGCAAGGCUAAAACUCAAAGGAAUUGACGGGGGCCCGCACAAGCGGCGGAGCAUGCGGAUUAAUUCGAUGCAACGCGAAGAACCUUACCUGGGUUUGACAUAUGCCGGAAAGCCUCAGAGAUGAGGCCCCUUUUGUCGGUAUACAGGUGGUGCAUGGCUGUCGUCAGCUCGUGUCGUGAGAUGUUGGGUUAAGUCCCGCAACGAGCGCAACCCUCGUUCUAUGUUGCCAGCACGUAAUGGUGGGGACUCAUAGGAGACUGCCGGGGUCAACUCGGAGGAAGGUGGGGAUGACGUCAAGUCAUCAUGCCCCUUAUGUCCAGGGCUUCACGCAUGCUACAAUGGCCGGUACAAAGGGCUGCGAUCCCGUAAGGGGGAGCGAAUCCCAAAAAGCCGGUCUCAGUUCGGAUUGGGGUCUGCAACUCGACCCCAUGAAGUCGGAGUCGCUAGUAAUCGCAGAUCAG